AUGACCUGGGCUCCUCUCCUCCUCACCCUCCUUGUUCACUACACAGUGUCUGUGGCCCAGGCAGAGCUGACUCAGCUGCCCUCCAUGUCCAAGGCCUUGGGACAGAUGGUCACACUGACCUGUACUGGGAACAGCAACAAUGUUGGCAACCAGGGAGCAGCUUGGCUUCAGCAGCACCCAGGCCAUGUCCCCAAACUCCUGAUGCACAGGAAUAACAACCGGCCCUCUGGGAUCUCAGAGAGAUUCUCUGGCUCCAGGUCAGAGAGCACGGCCUCCCUGACUAUCUCUGGGUUGCAGCCUGAGGACGAGGCUGACUAUUACUGCACAGCAUGGGACAGCAGCUUAAAUGCUUGCACAGUGCUUCAGGCCAGUGGGGAAGUGAGACAGAAACCCAUGGGCUCCCCAGCUUCGCCCAGCACAUGGGGACCUCAUGGAGCACUGUUUAAACUGGACCCACAAAAAGACAAGGGCUGA